UCAAUUUCGAACUCAGCGUUAGGCAGUUGUUAGGUAUGGGGUGCCUAUAGUUUGGCGCAUCCAGUGCUUCUGGAUUGAGUGGUACUGUCCACUCUGUUUGACGCCUCCCUGUUGACUUUUUGAGCCGCCCUUCGAGCGGCUCAUUUUUU
rnacentral:sRNA from 1 species